AUUGCGUUGCUUCCUGUUUAGGGUAGAGAGACCAUAGAACUUUUUGGAAAAUCCAUUUCCUUUUUCUUGUGCAAUAUCUUUCUCUACUUCUCCAGGCAGUGUAGGUACAGAGAUGCUGCAGUGUGAGCUGGGAAAAGCCAAAAGUGAUAUGCCAGAGGGUGUGGGGAAACUCUUCAAAGCUGGUGUCAGCUCUGGAAAGGAGCGUAGGGAAGGCUGACUGUGUCACGGGUUGAUGCAUGAUUCACCUUUCCUAGGAUACUUCCGGUCAGAACCCGGGAAUGAAAAAGAAAACAUCCUAGCAGCCAUGCAUCCUGAGACCAGUCAAGGAGCAAAAGAUCCUUCCACCUCCCAUUCAUGGGGGGUGCCUUGUUGUUGGCACUUGGCAGCUGUCGGGAGAUCACAGUGUAAUGGGAUCCAAGGCUGGGGGCAUUGCUAGGGAACAGGUGCAAACGCAGCACAUG
rnacentral:lncRNA from 1 species